rnacentral:rRNA from 1 species
ACGCUCGACACCUACGGGAGCCAGCAGUGGGGAAUAUUGCACAAUGGGGGAAACCCUGAUGCAGCGACGCCGCGUGAGCGAAGAAGUAUUUCGGUAUGUAAAGCUCUAUCAGCAGGGAAGAAAUUGACGGUACCUGACUAAGAAGCACCGGCUAAAUACGUGCCAGCAGCCGCGGUAAUCUGAGCGGGCUGGCAAGGC